GUCCACGCCGUAAACGAUGAUUACUCGUUUUUGGGUUUAAUUACUCAGAGGCUAAGCGAAAGUGAUAAGUAAUCCACCUGGGGAGUACGUCCGCAAGGAUGAAACUCAAAGGAAUUGACGGGGGCCCGCACAAGCGGAGGAUCAUGUGGUUUAAUUCGAUGAUACGCGAGGAACCUUACCAGGGCUUAAAUGGGAAUUGACCGUUUUGGAAACAGAACUUUCGCAAGACAAUUUUCAAGGUGCUGCAUGGUUGUCGU
rnacentral:rRNA from 1 species